UACGAAGGGGGCUAGCGUUGCUCGGAAUUACUGGGCGUAAAGGGCGCGUAGGCGGACAGUUAAGUCAGAGGUGAAAGCCCAGGGCUCAACCCUGGAAUUGCCUUUGAUACUGGCUGUCUUGAGUACGGGAGAGGUGAGUGGAACUCCGAGUGUAGAGGUGAAAUUCGUAGAUAUUCGGAAGAACACCAGUGGCGAAGGCGACUCACUGGCCCGUUACUGACGCUGAGGCGCGAAAGCGUGGGGAGCAAACAGG
rnacentral:rRNA from 1 species